UGAUAGCUGUGAAGCGUGAGGUUGCUGCCCCUCGUCGGCAGGUUUUCCGUGGAGCGAAUGUCAAGUUAAGUAAACUGGCGACAA
rnacentral:ncRNA from 1 species